UACGUAGGGGGCUAGCGUUAUCCGGAAUUACUGGGCGUAAAGGGUGCGUAGGUGGUUUCUUAAGUCAGAGGUGAAAGGCUACGGCUCAACCGUAGUAAGCCUUUGAAACUGGGAAACUUGAGUGCAGGAGAGGAGAGUGGAAUUCCUAGUGUAGCGGUGAAAUGCGUAGAUAUUAGGAGGAACACCAGUAGCGAAGGCGGCUCUCUGGACUGUAACUGACGCUGAGGCACGAAAGCGUGGGGAGCAAACAGGAUUAGAUACCCGUGUAGUCCCUGAGCGGG
rnacentral:rRNA from 1 species